rnacentral:rRNA from 1 species
AGUCACUGACAUUAGAUACCCCCGUAGUCCAGGGUGUAAACGCUGCAGACUUGGUGUUGGAAGCCCUUUGGGGGCAUUCAGUGCCGGAGAGAAGUUGUUAAGUCUGCUACUUGGGGAGUACGUCCGCAAGGAUGAAACUUAAAGGAAUUGGCGGGGGAGCACCGCAACGGGAGGAGCGUGCGGUUUAAUUGGAUUCAACACCGUAAAACUCACCAGGGAAGACUGUUACAUGAAGGCCGAGAUGAAGACUCUGCCAGAUUUUCAG